UACGAAGGGUGCAAGCGUUGCUCGGAAUUAUUGGGCGUAAAGGGUUGGUAGGUGGUCUUGUUUGUCUAAGGUGAAAUCCCAUGGCUUAACUGUGGAAGUGCCUUAGAAACGGCAAGACUAGAGUCCUAGAGGGGGUUUGUGGAAUUCCGGGUGUAGUGGUGAAAUGCGUAGAGAUCCGGAGGAACCCCAGAGGCGAAGGCGGCGUCCUGGCUCGCAUCUGACGCUCAGACACGACAGCAUGGGGAGCGAACGGG
rnacentral:rRNA from 1 species